rnacentral:rRNA from 1 species
CCUACGGGGUGCAGCAGUGAGGAAUAUUGGUCAAUGGGCGUAAGCCUGAACCAGCCAAGUCGCGUGAGGGAUGAAGGUUCUAUGGAUCGUAAACCUCUUUUAUAAGGGAAUAAAGUGUGGGACGUGUCCUGUUUUGUAUGUACCUUAUGAAUAAGGAUCGGCUAACUCCGUGCCAGCAGCCGCGGUAAUACGGAGGAUCCGAGCGUUAUCCGGAUUUAUUGGGUUUAAGGGGUGCGUAGGUGGCCUUUUAAGACAGCGGUGAAAGUCUGUGGCUCAACCAUAGAAUUGCCGUUGAAACUGGGAGGCUUGAGUAUGUUUGAGGCAGGCGGAAUGCGUGGUGUAGCGGUGAAAUGCUUAGAUAUCACGCAGAACCCCGAUUGCGAAGGCAGCCUGCCAAGCCAUGACUGACGCUGAUGCACGAAAGCGUGGGGAUCAAACAGGAUUAGAUACCCGAGUAGUC